UUUCUUAUUUAUUUUGAUUUUUCUUUCUUUUGGAGCUUUGGUUCUGUUACUUGAUCUUCCUAUUCUUUUUCUCUCUGGAUUUGUUGAUUCCGCUUCUUCUGUCUUAUUUGCUUCAGAUUCUCUCUGAUUCUUCCAUUGGAUUGGAUUUCUAUUGCCUCUCCUCUUUUUUCUUUUCUUCUUUCUAGAUCUAUUUUUCUUCUGUACUCUCUUUAUCUGUUUAGGUAUUCUCUUUUGGCUCGAUCUUCUUUCAUCAAUUAGUUAUGGUUUGAUCUUCUUCUUUCUUCUUCUUUGAUCUUUCUCUCUUUUUUUCUUUCAACUUUUAUUGGUCUAAUUAUAUGCUUCUCUCUUGGUCUUAACCUGAAAUAGAUCUUAUAAUAAAACAUUUCUCCUGAACUGUUUGAAGGAAAAAUUUAAUUAUCUUUGCUAAAAGAUUUUAUACAAAAACCCUUAUUUCCCCUCCUCUGGAUGUUUCUCAUAUUUUAAAAUGAAUCUCAAAAUGGUGAACAUCAUGAUUAUUCUUCCUGUUUCCUGAUCUGCUAAGGAUUUCUAUCUUUCUUCUAGUUAUUCUAAUUUUCUAAUAUAUAUAUAUAUUCCUUUUAAUCUUUCAAUUUUUGUUGACUUUCCUGGACCUUUCUGAUUUUGAACCGGAAAAAGAAAAAAUUUGAGAGUCUCUAAAAGUUGUUUCUCUUCUCUUUUUAAAUGUGUCAUUCUUUUCGUCUUAAAUAGGCCUGUUUAAAAUUUUCCGAGUACAGGGAUGGGGAUUGUUUUAUCUUGGCUAGUUUCUUUUUGGGAUUGUCUUCUUUAAAUUUUUUGAUUCAAAUAGGUUUUUUGUGUCAUUUUAGUAAUGGGUUUGUCCUUUAUACCUAUCUUAAAAUCUCUGUUAUGGUUCUCAGGAUUGGUUUCUUCUUUUCUUGCCGGAUUCUUAUUUGCCGAAUUAUUGUGUUCUGUUGGUCCAAUUUGCUUCUGUUUUUUAGGAUUUAGCCUCUCUUUAACCCUGGUUUUCUUUUUUGGUUUGUCUUGUUUUCAAUUGCUAGUAGGAUUUUUUCUUAGUUUUUCUCUGAAAUUAUUUUUGUGAUUUAAAAAUCUGAUGUGAAAAAAGAAAAGGAAAAAAAAUAUCCCAAGAUCUUGACCCUAACUCCGCUGAUCCCAAACUUCCCCCAGGAAACUGAAAACUCCUGUGAAACAGCAUGAUGCUGAAAUCAAUACUGGCUUAUGUUUUAUUUGGUUGUAUUUUUUUGAAGACGCAACCUUCAACAUUUAAAUCUUCGAUUGCGGCAAUGACUAAACCGUCGUCCUCAAUCAUUAAGAAGAUAUCUCUUUCCUGUAUAGGCCGUCGUGACACUUUUAUCAGACUUGGUAGAAGGGCUCAGGAAUCCACCUUGAUAGUUUUAUCACAAGUUAACUCCCAAUAUUCACAACUUGUUUGUGAAUCAUUACAUGCUGCCAGUAUUAGAAGACUACUCAUUGGGUACCGAUGGAGAACGAAUGCUUCCUAGUUUAAAGAAGAACUAUAAAUUUUUGUAUUAUCUUUGCAGUUUUAGCUUUAGGGUCUUCUUUAUGACCUAUCGCGUUGUGCUCUUUUCCUUCGUCAAGGUUUUAUCCCUAAGGGUUUUCCUUUUAUCCAUACGGGUUUUCCUUUUCAUGGUUUUUAACGAGGCAAUAAAUGCGUGUCCAACACCUCCGGGUGGUUUUAUUUUUUUCUUAUUUCUGUUUGUUAUUUGUUUUUCAUGUAAUAUUUCUAAGCUUACUGUUGUAACCUUAGCUUUCUAA